UUUGAAUCACAUUUUCCAAUUUUGCAGCAAACUUUGAAAAAUAUCCUUCUCGGCCCCCGACAGACAGUCAGAUCAAUCCUCGGACCAAGAAGCUGUUACCCCACAUACUGAAUAUUAUGUUUUUGAAUAAAUUCACCCAGUCACCUUUUGAAAAUCCACAUCCUUUUUGUUCUUACUACGAAGAACCCUUUUAUUUGCCUUAGACUAAAUCUCCUUUCUUCCAGUCUAUGUAUCAUCAUAUUAAUUAAAUUAUUUCCAGAAAAUGGUUUAUAUUGGCCCUAAAUAUAUUUGUAUAAUGCUAUCAUGUCCCCUCUGUCCAAAGGCACGUUCUAACAUUAAAACUUAAGAUAUUUAUUUAUAACUUUAUAGUCUCCCUUAGAUUUAGAUUAUUCCCUCUGCCUUAUAACCUCCCAAAAAAAACCCUCCCCAGUCAUCCAGGCCGUUUCCUCCUGGCACCUUCUGCCACUCCUCUUUCGAUCUCUGGUCCUUGCUAAUACGUCUGAUAGAGAGGUAUUGAGGAUCUGCUGCUCAGCCAUUCGGAUGCUUCUCAUAUUACAGUGAAUCAGAUCCUUGUAUAUGAGAAGCAUUCCCAGAGGUUGGUGAUGUGUGUUUUUGCAUUAUAUUGUUGAAUGUGAAGGCCUGGAAUAAAUGAAAGCCUUCAGUGAGGUAGCACCUCUAGUGCCUUUCAGUCUGACAGCCAUUACAGGUGUAUUUAUCCCCUGUUUCAAGCAAUGUUGGUUUUUGUUGAUGUUUGUUUUUACUUACAUUGCCACGUGAAAGGGACAAGGUCUGCCAACAAAAGUUUUUCAUUAAGAUAACGCGAUAACUCACAUGGUUAAUACCUGUUCCAACAUACUGAUCACAGGCUCAUACUUUUGUGGUAGAUUAGUACCAAUGCCUGCUGACAUCUUUACGGUAUCUUCCAGUUCAUUGGAGCAUAGAAUUGGUGGUGCGCAUGCGAUACCAAAUGCCGCGCUCCUCCAAUUCCCAGAAUGAGUUUUACUUGGUCUGGAGCAGGAAGCUCCUCGAGUGGCUGCCAGGAAGUCAGCCACAAGCGGCGAAUUUAUCCCAACAAUAUAACAUUGGUAGUUUCUAAAAAAAACUGCUUGCAGGGUUAAAACUAAAGGACCACGGCCUCAGACCACUUCAUCCCAAUGCUUCCCUAUGCUUCAGCCUGUGGGAGCCUCUUGGAGAGACAGUGUGUAUAGCAUGUAAGUUAUUAUUUUAAUGAGGAAUAUUCUGAAGUUAGAGUAAAGGCGUGUGGAUCACUUUGUCUGUCUUGGCACAUUGCUUUCGUAAACUCAGAUACCAUUUGAGUCUUAUAUAUUCUAUCUGGAUCGAGAUUAAAAAACAGUAUUGUAAAAAAGUUAACUCUGCAUUAACCUGUAU